rnacentral:rRNA from 1 species
GAUGAACGCUGGCGGCGUGCCUAAUACAUGCAAGUCGAACGGACGGACGAGAAGCUUGCUGCGCUGACGUUAGCCGAGGGGGGGAGUGUAACAUGUGGAUCACCUCCCUAUCAGUGUGGGAUCUCCUCGGGAAAGCGGCGAUAACAGCGGAGAAUAUCUUGAUCCGUAUGGGUGAUAGGAGAAAUACGGCGUUGCUGUAUGUUAUCGAUGGUUCCCAGCUGCAUUAGCUAGUUGGUAAGGUAACGGCUUACGAAGGCAAGCAUGCAUAGCCGACCUGAGAGGGUGAUCGGCCACACUGGAACUGAGACACGGUCCAGACUCCUACGGGAGGCAGCAGUAGGGAAUCUUCCGCAGUGGGCGAAAGCCUGACGGAGCAACGCCGCGUGAGUGAUGAAGGUCUUCGGAUCGUAAAACUCUGUUAUUAGGGAAGAACAGAUGUGUAAGUAACUGUGCACAUCUUGACGGUACCUAAUCAGAAAGCCACGGCUAACUACGUG